GAUGAACGCUGGCGGCGUGCCUAAUACAUGCAAGUCGAGCGAACAGACGAGGAGCUUGCUCCUCUGACGUUAGCGGCGGACGGGUGAGUAACACGUGGAUAACCUACCUAUAAGACUGGGAUAACUUCGGGAAACCGGAGCUAAUACCGGAUAAUAUAUUGAACCGCAUGGUUCAAUAGUGAAAGACGGUUUUGCUGUCACUUAUAGAUGGAUCCGCGCCGCAUUAGCUAGUUGGUAAGGUAACGGCUUACCAAGGCAACGAUGCGUAGCCGACCUGAGAGGGUGAUCGGCCACAUUGGAGUGGAGAACCGGUCCAGAUCCCUACGGGAGGCAGCGGUAGGGAAUCUUCCGCAAGGGGCGAAAGCUUGACGGAGCAACGCCGCGUGAGUGAGGAAGGUCUUCGGAUCGUAAAACUCUGUUAUUAGGGAAGAACAAAUGUGUAAGUAACUAUGCACGUCUUGACGGUACCAAAGCAGAAAGCCACGGCUAACUACGU
rnacentral:rRNA from 1 species